AAACUUUCAACAACGGAUCUCUUGGUUCUGGCAUCGAUGAAGAACGCAGCGAAAUGCGAUAAGUAAUGUGAAUUGCAGAAUUAUGUGAACCAUCGAAUCUUUGAACGCACAUUGCGCCCUUUGGUAUUCCGAAGGGCAUGCCUGUCCGAGCGUCAUU
rnacentral:rRNA from 6 species